rnacentral:rRNA from 1 species
UACGUAGGGUGCAAGCGUUGUCCGGAAUUAUUGGGCGUAAAGAGCUCGUAGGCGGUCUGUCGCGUCGGAUGUGAAAAUCCAGGGCUCAACCCUGGACCUGCAUUCGAUACGGGCAGACUAGAGUUCGGCAGGGGAGACUGGAAUUCCUGGUGUAGCGGUGAAAUGCGCAGAUAUCAGGAGGAACACCGGUGGCGAAGGCGGGUCUCUGGGCCGAUACUGACGCUGAGGAGCGAAAGCGUGGGGAGCAAACAGG